rnacentral:rRNA from 1 species
UCCUUCGGGAUGUAAACUUCGCAAGAACGGGAAGAAUAAGUAAGAGCUAACAUCUCUUAUGAUGACGGUACUGUUUGUAAGCUCCGGCUAACUCCGUGCCAGCAGCCGCGGUAAUACGGGGGGAGCAAGCGUUGUUCGGAUUUACUGGGCGUAAAGGGCGCGUAGGCGGCCACCGCAAGUCAGUUGUGAAAUCUCUGGGCUUAACCCAGAAAGGUCAACUGAUACUGCGGGGCUAGAGUGCAGAAGGGGCAACUGGAAUUCUCGGUGUAGCAGUGAAAUGCGUAGAUAUCGAGAGGAACACCUGCGGCGAAGGCGGGUUGCUGGGCUGACACUGACGCUGAGGCGCGAAAGCUAGGGGAGCGAACGGGAUUAGAUACCCUGGUAGUCCACGCCCUAAACGAUGUCGACUAGGCGUUGGGGAAGCGAUUCCUUGGUGCCGUAGCUAACGCGUGAAGUCGACCGCCUGGGGAGUACGGCCGCAAGGUUAAAACUCAAAGGAAUUGACGGGGACCCGCACAAGCGGUGGAUGAUGUGGAUUAAUUCGAUGCAACGCGAACAACCUUACCUACCCUUGACAUGUCCGGAACCCUGCUGAGAGGCGGGGGUGCCCGAAAGGGAAUCGGAACACAGGUGCUGCAUGGCUGUCGUCAGCUCGUGUCGUGAGAUGUUGGGUUAAGUCCCGCAACGAGCGCAACCCUUGUCCC